GCUCAGUUGGUUAAGUGUCUGACACUUGGUUUCAGCCCAGGUCAUGAUCUCACAGUUUGUGGGUUCAAGUCCCACAUUGGGCU
rnacentral:tRNA from 1 species